rnacentral:rRNA from 1 species
GUGGGGAAUUUUGGACAAUGGGCGAAAGCCUGAUCCAGCCAUGCCGCGUGCAGGAUGAAGGCCUUCGGGUUGUAAACUGCUUUUGUACGGAACGAAAAGACUCUGGUUAAUACCUGGGGUCCAUGACGGUACCGUAAGAAUAAGCACCGGCUAACUACGUGCCAGCAGCCGCGGUAAUACGUAGGGUGCAAGCGUUAAUCGGAAUUACUGGGCGUAAAGCGUGCGCAGGCGGUUAUAUAAGACAGAUGUGAAAUCCCCGGGCUCAACCUGGGAACUGCAUUUGUGACUGUAUAGCUAGAGUACGGCAGAGGGGGAUGGAAUUCCGCGUGUAGCAGUGAAAUGCGUAGAUAUGCGGAGGAACACCGAUGGCGAAGGCAAUCCCCUGGGCCUGUACUGACGCUCAUGCACGAAAGCGUGGGGAGCAAACAGGAUUAGAAACCCGAGUAGUCC